AUGAAACUGUUGUCACUAGACCACAAAAAGUACAUCAUAUCAGAAACAAGUCUUGGCGGUCUAACCCAGAUGCAUGAAGUGACUCUACGACGCAUAAUGUUGGUUAGACUAGCCAAGAGCAUAGAUAUGGACACGCAAUCCAUUACCAUCGGUAAAACGCCAAUUCCUAUAACAAAAGAGGACGUGCAAGGUAUAUUUGGCAUUCUGAUAGAAGGGGAGGAUAUAGAGCCACAUCUGGAAAUGCAAACCGACACAGAAUUGUUUACCGCCUAUGCAAACAAUGGGCAAAUUUUGAUUUCUGACCUAGAAACGGCGAUCCGAGCUUCCAAAGCCCCAGACGGCGAUUUCCUGAGGCGGUUCAUUCUGUACGCAAUUGGUACUGUUCUAGCACCAACAGCACAACAUUAUGUGGACUCGAAAUUUCUCAACCUUGUUACAGAUCUUGAAAACCUUCGGAAAUUUAACUGGGGAUGUUUCACACUUAAUCACAUCUUCAAGUCCGUUCACAAGUUUAGAAAUCAAGAUCACAUAAAUCUACAAGGAAAUCUAAUUCUGCUCCAGUAUUGGUACUGGGAGCAUGUGCGUAGUGGCCGAUUAAUGUAUGCUUCUAGACCCCCUCCAUUGAUCGCA
rnacentral:rRNA from 1 species